UGAUGGCGACCGGCGCACGGGUGAGUAACACGUAUCCAACCUGCCGAUAACUCGGGGAUAGCCUUUCGAAAGAAAGAUUAAUACCCGAUGGCAUAGUUCUUCCGCAUGGUAGAACUAUUAAAGAAUUUCGGUCAUCGAUGGGGAUGCGUUCCAUUAGGUUGUUGGCGGGGUAACGGCCCACCAAGCCUUCGAUGGAUAGGGGUUCUGAGAGGAAGGUCCCCCACAUUGGAACUGAGACACGGUCCAA
rnacentral:rRNA from 1 species